rnacentral:rRNA from 1 species
UGGGGAAUUUUGGACAAUUGGGCGAAAGCCUGAUCCAGCAAUGCCGCGUGUGUGAAGAAGGCCUUCGGGUUGUAAAGCACUUUUGUCCGGAAAGAAAUCCUUGGCUCUAAUACAGUCGGGGGAUGACGGUACCGGAAGAAUAAGCACCGGCUAACUACGUGCCAGCAGCCGCGGUAAUACGUAGGGUGCAAGCGUUAAUCGGAAUUACUGGGCGUAAAGCGUGCGCAGGCGGUUUGCUAAGACCGAUGUGAAAUCCCCGGGCUAACCUGGGAACUGCAUUGGUGACUGGCAGGCUAGAGUAUGGCAGAGGGGGGUAGAAUUCCACGUGUAGCAGUGAAAUGCGUAGAGAUGUGGAGGAAUACCGAUGGCGAAGGCAGCCCCCUGGGCCAAUACUGACGCUCAUGCACGAAAGCGUGGGGAGCAAAC